rnacentral:rRNA from 1 species
UAGGGAAUCUUCGGCAAUGGACGAAAGUCUGACCGAGCAACGCCGCGUGAGUGAAGAAGGUUUUCGGAUCGUAAAACUCUGUUGUUAGAGAAGAACAAGGACGUUAGUAACUGAACGUCCCCUGACGGUAUCUAACCAGAAAGCCACGGCUAACUACGUGCCAGCAGCCGCGGUAAUACGUAGGUGGCAAGCGUUGUCCGGAUUUAUUGGGCGUAAAGCGAGCGCAGGCGGUUUCUUAAGUCUGAUGUGAAAGCCCCCGGCUCAACCGGGGAGGGUCAUUGGAAACUGGGAGGCUUGAGUGCAGAAGAGGGGGGUGGAAUUCCAUGUGUAGCGGUGAAAUGCGUAGAUAUAUGGAGGAACACCAGUGGCGAAGGCGGCUCUCUGGUCUGUAACUGACGCUGAGUCUCGAAAGCGUGGGGAGCAAACAGG